rnacentral:rRNA from 1 species
AAGUCGUAACAAGGUUUCCGUAGGUGAACCUGCGGAAGGAUCAUUAUCGAGUUUUGACUGGGUUGUAGCUGGCCUUCCGAGGCAUGUGCACGCCCUGCUCAUCCACUCUACACCUGUGCACUUACUGUGGGCUUCAGAUCGUAAAACGGGUCCCUUUACCGGGCUUGCGGAGCGUGUCUGUGCCUGCGUUUAUCACAAACUCUAUAAAGUAUCAGAAUGUGUAUUGCGAUGUAACGCAUCUAUAUACAACUUUCAGCAACGGAUCUCUUGGCUCUCGCAUCGAUGAAGAACGCAGCGAAAUGCGAUAAGUAAUGUGAAUUGCAGAAUUCAGUGAAUCAUCGAAUCUUUGAACGCACCUUGCGCUCCUUGGUAUUCCGAGGAGCAUGCCUGUUUGAGUGUCAUGAAAUCUUCAACCUGCAAGCUUUUGUGGUUUGUAGGCUUGGACUUGGAGGCUUGUCGGCCGUUGUUGGUCGGCUCCUCUUAAAUGCGUUAGCUUGGUUCCUUGCGGAUCGGCUCUCGAGUGUGAUAAUGUCUACGCUGCGACCGUGAAGCGUUUGGCGAGCUUCUAACCGUCUCAGUUGGAGACAACUUUAUGACCUCUGACCUCAAAUCAGGUAGGACUACCCGCUGAACUU